UGCUACGCCAAGUCCUCUUCACAUCACGUCUUCCAAGCCAGAGCCUGCUCACAUCAUGCUGGUCACUCAAGAGAUUCUUCUCAACAUGGCCACCAUUGAAGAGCUCCAUUGUAAGAUGGCUGCCACACAAGAGUAUCUCUAUACAAUGGCUGCCGUUCUAGAGUCUCGUCAUGUCUCAACUGAUCAUCCAGAGUCUCACGCCACGCCUGAGUCCCCGGCCAAGAUGGCCGCGACGCCUGAGUCCCCGGCCAAGAUGGCCGCCACGCCUGAGUCCCCGGCCAAGAUGGCCGCCACGCCUGAGUCUCGCCAUGUCAUGGCAGUCACAGAGACUGUUCCCUUGACCUCAGUGCUUCCAGUAAUGGCAGUCGCCAUUUUGAGCGUGUGGACUGCACACUGCGCUCCAGAGACCUCUCCUGUCCACGAGUCUGCUCCUGAGGCCUCUCCUGACCGCAAAUCCACUCCAGUACCUCCAGAGGAGGCGGCGUCCACUGCAGAACCUCAAGAGGAGGCCAAGGAGGCCAUCCAUGAACUCUCUGCCUGUCCUGUCACGGCCAAGGAGGCCGUGUAUGAACUCUCUGCCUGUCCUGUCACGGCCAAGGAGGCCAUCCACGAACUCUCUGCCUGUCCUGUCACGGCCAAGGAGGCCGUGUACGAACUCUCUGCCUGUCCUGCCACGGCCAAGGAGGCCGUCCAAGAACUCUCUGCCUGUCCUGUCACGGCCAAGGAGGCCGUCCAUGAACUCUCUGCCUAUCCUGUCACGGCCAAGGAGGCCAUCCACGAACUCUCUGCCUGUUCUGCCACGGCCAAGGGGGCCGUUCACGAACUCUCUGCCUGUUCUGCCACGGCCAAGGAGGCCAUUCACGAACUCUCUGCCUGUCCUGUCACGGCCGUGGAGGCCGCUCAUGAACUCACUGCCUGUCCUGUCACGGCCGUGGAGGCCGCUCAUGAACUCACUUCCUGUCAAGGCCACGGAGGCUGCUCAUGAACUCACUGUCUGUCCUGUAACGGCCAUGGAGGCCACUCAGGAACUCACUGUCUGUCCUGUCAAGGCCAAGUAGUCUGUCCAUGUCUCUGCUCCACCAUGGCUUCCUGCUCUGCGGGCACCGCCUGGCUACCCCGCUCUGCCUGCACCGCCUGGCCACCCUGCUCUGCCUGCACCGCCUGGCCACCCCGCUCUGCCUGCACCGCCAUGGCACCCCGCUCUGCCUGCACCGCCAUGGCUCCCCGCUAGGACUGCUCCGCCAUGGCUCCAUACUGCUCUGGAUCUGCUCCACGGCCCAGGUCCCCCUCAGCUCUAUUGUCUGUCACUGCUCCACAGCCCAGGUCCCCCUCUGCUCCAUUGUCAGUCAUUGCCUCAUGAUCCUG
ensembl:lncRNA